rnacentral:rRNA from 1 species
GACGAACGCUGGCGGCGUGCCUAAUACAUGCAAGUAGAACGCUGAAGAGAGGAGCUUGCUCUUCUUGGAUGAGUUGCGAACGGGUGAGUAACGCGUAGGUAACCUGCCUUGUAGCGGGGGAUAACUAUUGGAAACGAUAGCUAAUACCGCAUAACAAUGAAUGACACAUGUCAUUUAUUUGAAAGGGGCAAUUGCUCCACUACAAGAUGGACCUGCGUUGUAUUAGCUAGUAGGUGAGGUAACGGCUCACCUAGGCGACGAUACAUAGCCGACCUGAGAGGGUGAUCGGCCACACUGGGACUGAGACACGGCCCAGACUCCUACGGGAGGCAGCAGUAGGGAAUCUUCGGCAAUGGGGGCAACCCUGACCGAGCAACGCCGCGUGAGUGAAGAAGGUUUUCGGAUCGUAAAGCUCUGUUGUAAGUCAAGAACGAGUGUGAGAGUGGAAAGUUCACACUGUGACGGUAGCUUACCAGAAAGGGACGGCUAACUACGUGCCAGCAGCCGCGGUAAUACGUAGGUCCCGAGCGUUGUCCGGAUUUAUUGGGCGUAAAGCGAGCGCAGGCGGUUUGAUAAGUCUGAAGUUAAAGGCUGUGGCUCAACCAUAGUUCGCUUUGGAAACUGUCAAACUUGAGUGCAGAAGGGGAGAGUGGAAUUCCAUGUGUAGCGGUGAAAUGCGUAGAUAUAUGGAGGAACACCGGUGGCGAAAGCGGCUCUCUGGUCUGUAACUGACGCUGAGGCUCGAAAGCGUGGGGAGCGAACAGG